rnacentral:rRNA from 1 species
AACCUUUAGCCAAACAAAUAUUAAAGGCAACGCCUGCCCAGUGAAUAAUUAAACGGCCGCGGUAUCCUAACCGUGCAAAGGUAGCGUAAUCAUUUGUCUACUAAUUAUAGACCUGUAUGAAAGGCAACAUGAGGGUCCAACUGUCUCUUAUAAUAAAUCAAUUAAACUGAUCUCCUAGUUAAAAAAGCUAGAAUUACAACAUAAGACCAGAAGACCCUGUGAAGCUUAAAUUAAACUAUUAAAUCAUAUAAUAGCUAUUUUCGGUUGGGGCGACCUUGGAAAAAAAAAGAACUUCCAAACAUCAUGACCAUACCUCAUACCAUUAAAUCAGGCCAACAAGCCUAAAAUUGACCCAGCACAGCUGACAAUUGAACCAAGUUACUCCAGGGAUAACAGCGCAAUCUUCUUCAAGAGCCCAUAUCAAAAAGAAGGUUUACGACCUCGAUGUUGGAUCAGGACAUCCUAAUGGUGCAGCCGCUAUUAAAGGUUCGUUUGUUCAACGAUUAACAGUCCU